AAAAAGGUUUUCUUUAAAACCAAACACACUAUUACAGGUUUUAU
rfam:Nelumbo nucifera unplaced genomic scaffold scaffold00031, whole genome shotgun sequence